rnacentral:RNase_P_RNA from 1 species
CCAGUUGGCCGGGCAGCCGCGCUCCGCUAGGGCCGAAAGGCUGCGGGGGAGGAAAGUCCGGGCUCCAUGAAAACACGGUGCCGGAUAACGUCCGGCGGGGGCGACCCUAGGGAAAGUGCCACAGAAAGCAAACCGCCUGUCCUUGCGACAGGUCAGGGUGAAAGGGUGGGGUAAGAGCCCACCGCACGCAUGGCAACAUGGGUGGCAGGGCAAACCCCACCGGGAGCAAAACCGAAUAGGGACGACGCGGAUCGCGCAAGCGCUCCGGCCGGUUUUCAGGCCAGUCGUCCGGGUGGGUUGCACGAGGUUGCGCGUAAGCGCCGCCCCAGAUGAAUGGCUGCCACGUUCCGGUCUCAAAGCCGGAGCCAUACAGAACCCGGCUUACAGGCCAACUGGCAAU